UACGUAGGGUGCAAGCGUUGCCCGGAUUUAUUGGGCGUAAAGGGUGCGUAGGCGGUCACGCACGUCCGUUGUGAAAUCGCUCGGCUCAACUGGGCGGGGGCAGCGGAUACGGUGUGGCUGGAGCAAGCUAGGGGGCAAUGGAAUUCCCGGUGUAGUGGUGGAAUGCGUAGAUAUCGGGAGGAACACCAGUGGCGAAGGCGGUUGCCUGGAGCUUUGCUGACGCUGAUGCGCGAAAGCGUGGGGAGCGAUCCGG
rnacentral:rRNA from 1 species